GAUGAACGCUGGCGGCGUGCCUAACACAUGCAAGUCGAGCGAGAUUUAUGUGAGUGGAGACUUCGGUCAAAGCGAACAUAAUGAAAGCGGCGGACGGGUGAGUAACGCGUGAGCAAUCUGCCCCAUACAAAGGGAUACCCACUGGAAACGGUGAUUAAUACCUUAUAAGACCACAGAGUCGCAUGGCUUAGGGGUCAAAGAUUUAUCGGUAUGGGAUGAGCUCGCGUCUGAUUAGCUAGUUGGUGAGGUAAUGGCUCACCAAGGCGACGAUCAGUAGCCGACCUGAGAGGGUGAACGGCCACACUGGAACUGAGACACGGUCCAGACUCCUACGGGAGGCAGCAGUGGGGAAUAUUGCACAAUGGGCGCAAGCCUGAUGCAGCAACGCCGCGUGAAUGAUGAAGGCCUUCGGGUCGUAAAGUUCUGUCCAAAGGGAAGAAUACAGUGACGGUACCUUUGGAGGAAGCCCCGGCUAACUACGUGCCAGCAGCCGCCGUAAAAC
rnacentral:rRNA from 1 species